GUGGGGAAUCUUGCGCAAUGGGGGAAACCCUGACGCAGCAACGCCGUGUGAGCGAAGAAGGCUUUCGGGUCGUAAAGCUCUGUUAGGUGGAAAGAAUUUUCGUCUCUCUAACAUAGAGACGGAUUGACGGUACCACCAGAGGAAGCACCGGCAAACUCCGUGCCAGCAGCCGCGGUAAUACGGAGGGUGCAAGCGUUGUUCGGAAUCAUUGGGCGUAAAGAGCGUGUAGGUGGUUAAAUAAGUCAGAUGUGAAAUCCCUUGGCUCAACUGAGGAAGUGCAUCUGAAACUGUUUAGCUUGAGUACGGGUGGGGAAUGGCGGAAUUCCCAGUGUAGAGGUGAAAUUCAUAGAUAUUGGGAGGAACACCGGUGGCGAAGGCGGCCUUCUAGCCCGAUACUGACACUGAGACGCGAAAGCGUGGGGAGCAAACAGGAUUAGAAACCCUUGUAGUCC
rnacentral:rRNA from 1 species